AGUAAGUUUGCUCAAGUUUGCUGUUGGAGUACUAAACAGAAAAUACAAAGUAACGUCUACUGUUUAAAAGAGUAAAGCUGCUUUCAACAUGAAAAUUGAAGAAGUGAAAAGCACAGCUAAAACGCAAAGGAUCUCUGCUCACAGUCAUAUAAAAGGCUUGGGGUUGGAUGAAAAUGGUGUUCCUAUUCAAAUGGCAGCCGGUCUCGUGGGUCAAGAGUCUGCACGUGAGGCUGCAGGGAUAGUUGUAGAUAUGAUAAGAAGUAAGAAAAUGGCCGGGCGAGCUUUACUCUUGGCAGGGCCUCCUGGUACUGGCAAAACUGCUAUAGCUCUUGCCAUCGCUCAGGAACUUGGAACUAAGGUUCCUUUCUGUCCAAUGGUUGGUAGUGAAGUUUACAGCACAGAGAUCAAGAAAACAGAGGUAUUAAUGGAGAAUUUUCGACGUGCUAUAGGCCUGCGUAUACGUGAAACCAAAGAAGUAUAUGAGGGUGAGGUAACUGAGUUAACACCUGUUGAAACAGAAAAUCCUGCUGGAGGCUAUGGAAAAACAGUAUCUCAUGUGAUCAUAGGACUAAAAACGGCCAAGGGUACCAAACAACUUAAACUUGAUCCAACUAUAUAUGAAUCGUUACAAAAGGAAAAGGUUGAAGUUGGGGAUGUCAUUUACAUUGAAGCUAAUUCUGGGGCAGUGAAGAGACAGGGUAGGAGUGAUACUUUUGCUACUGAAUUCGACCUUGAGGCUGAAGAAUAUGUUCCGCUACCCAAAGGUGAUGUACACAAAAAGAAAGAAGUUGUUCAAGAUGUAACCUUACACGAUUUGGAUUGUGCUAAUGCAAGACCGCAGGGAGGUCAUGACAUUAUGUCUAUGAUGGGACAACUCAUGAAACCAAAGAAGACUGAAAUAACAGAUAAACUUCGAAAAGAGAUCAAUAAAGUUGUGAACAAAUACAUAGAUCAAGGGAUUGCAGAACUGGUUCCUGGUGUGCUAUUCAUUGAUGAGGUACACAUGCUGGACAUUGAAACUUUCACAUACCUACAUCGAGCGUUGGAGUCCGCGAUAGCACCAAUUGUUAUAUUUGCUACAAACAGAGGGCGUUGUCAAAUCAGAGGGACAGAAGACAUUGUAUCACCACACGGCAUUCCACUAGAUCUAUUAGAUAGGUUAUUAAUAAUACGCACUCUCCCGUAUAACAAAGCAGAACUUUUACAGAUCUUAAAGCUCCGUGCGGUCACAGAAGGAAUUUCAAUCGAGGACGAAGCUUUGUCGGCGCUCUCUGAGAUUGGAGCUAACACGACGCUCAGGUACGCAGUUCAGCUGCUAACUCCGGCGAUGUUGGCCGCGCGAGCCGACGGCUGCCAGCGCAUAUCGCCGGCGCACGUGUCCUCGGUCCACACGCUGUUCCUUGACGCUAAAGCUUCAGCCAAAAUCCUCACUCAACAUUCCGAUAAAUACAUGCAGUAAAAAUAAUACAAAAAUAUAGAGUAAUUUGAAUAUCAGAUAGAUAGGAUGCUUUUUUACGUUCAUAUCGAUAAUGUCAAACUGUCCAUAUAUCAACUCACGCGCUGGUAACAGCAGAGCACGCACGUGCACGAGGUUUUCCUUCUGAUUUACAACUUAGUAAAACUUGUUAUCUUAAAUCCUUGAAUUUAAGAUUAAUGUAGCAAAAUAUUAUUUUGACCAAUGUUUGUUACAGUUUUAAAAGGGUUACUUAAAAGGCAAAACAAUCUUUUAAAUAUUUUAAAAUGAUGAAUGUCUUUUCCAAUGCAAAUAAUUAUAGAUCUAUUCAAUUAAUAAUAGAGUAUACCGGUAUUGUCUGGGAGUAUGAGUAUGUUUUUGGUGCUUAAUAUUUAAUGAAUCUUUAGACCGGUAUUUUCUCUAUACCUCUCGCCGUAUUAUUCAUAAAACACAUGUGAUAUUUACGUUUAGUAUUUCAUAAUUCAUAUUUGUAAGGAAAUGAAGAAUGUUGCGUUAAUUUGGAGUCAACCUUUAUGUUUGUCGUAUUAAAUGUGAAUUUAACAAUAAAUGAAA